rnacentral:rRNA from 1 species
AGUAAAUAGAUACCCUGGUAGUCCACGCCGUAAACGAUGAGUACUAGGUGUAGGAGGUAUCGACUCCUUCUGUGCCGCAGUUAAACACAAUAAGUACUCCGCCUGGGAAGUACGGUCGCAAGAUUAAAACUCAAAGGAAUUGAACGGGGGCCCGCACGAAGCAGCGGAGCAUGUGGUUUAAUUCGAAGCAACGCGAAGAACCUUACCUAGACUUGACAUCUCCUGAAUAGUGUAGAGAUACAUGAAGCCCUUCGGGUCAGGAAGACAGGUGGUGCAUGGUUGUCGUCAGCUCGUGUCGUGAGAUGUUGGGUUAAGUCCCGCAACGAGCGCAACCCUUAUUACUAGUUGCUACCAUUAAGUUGAGCACUCUAGUGAGACUGCCCGGGGUUAAACCCGGGUAGGAAGGCGGGGGAUGGACGUCAAAUCAUCAUGCCCCUUAUGUCUAGGGCAACACACGUGCUACAAUGGUG